rnacentral:rRNA from 1 species
UGGGUAACCUGCCUCAAAGAGGGGAAUAGCCUCCCGAAAGGGAGAUUAAUACCGCAUAAUAUGUUUAAGUCGCAUGACUUUAACAUCAAAGGAUUUUCUUUUAGAAAUUCCACUUUGAGAUGGACCCGCGGCGCACUAGCUAGUUGGUGAGGUAACGGCUCACCAAGGCAACGAUGCGUAGCCGACCUGAGAGGGUGAUCGGCCACAUUGGAACUGAGACACGGUCCAGCUCCGUAGGG